AAACUCUACAAGAACCAUGUUUUCUGUGUUUUUUAAACCACUGUAUCCUUGGAGCCUAGAUGAUUCUUGGAACAUAAGCAAGCAUACAACCACGGCUGCGUGAAUCAUUGAUACCACUCAGGAGAGCAGCUGCGAUGUGAUUCUAAAGCCCUAUGGUUCUGUGCUCAGACACACGAAGGGAUUAAAUGUCCUGACCGAGGCUGUGAAACCACUUGGCAAGAAGACCAAGGAAGAGAUUUCUGGGUUAUCUGGGAGGUUGCACCCUUAUAUUAUAGAAUCGUAGACCUGGAUCAUCUAGUUCAACUUGGAAAUCAUCUAACUCAAAUCUCAUUUAUUGUAAAAGUUCGUCUGCAGUUAUCCUGACUAAUGAUCAUGCAGUCUUUUCUUAGGCAAGGUUAGUGAUGAGGAGGGUUCUACCUCCUAAGGCAGUGGACUCUGGGUACUAUUAAAAU